UGAAUCGAAUAUGAUUACAAACUACGAGUUUUAUGACAUAAAUUCCAACACUAAUUUCAUCCACGUUCAUGAUAUAGUCCUUACUUUAUGUAGGUCAUCUUAUGGACAACUGCGAGGGGACUCGAUUAAAUAUAGAGAACUCGACUUUUGAGAAUAUAAUGCCACUUGAGGUUCUUGAUUGGGUAAGGGUGGAAUCCAUGAGCAGCUUAUCAGGUACCUUGGCAGAUGGUAUAGAUAACUUUGGUUAUGCUAGUGUGGCUGCAAACGAAGAUUAAAAAUGAGAUGUUUGAUGACUUUGAUGAAGAUCUUGUCAUGUUUUAUUGAUAGAGCGACUAAGGAUGUUGCUAUCAAGGUUCCACAUUUUCUUAGUGAUCAUAUUUUCUCUAUUUGUAGUCAUCUGUUUCUAUUGACUUGGUCUUUAUGCCUAUACUCUUUUCCCCAUACUUUAGACGGGGAUUACAUAUGGUUCUUUUUGGUUGAAAUAGUGUUUUAGUCUUUCCAUAAUAGUUCCUAAUUUUAAGUCUACUAAAAUUAAUCUUUACCACAAACUUCUUUAAUGGAAUUUAAUAAUUAGAAUGAAUAAUAUAACUCAUUGAUUCCUCUUCUUCUGAUUGUGAUGAUGAUAAGGAUGAUACUUCUGCUUCUAUCAAAUCUAAGUUUAUCGCCUCUUUGGUAAGGAAAGGCCUGUCCACAAGGUUUUCGUCCGAGGAAAACGUUAGUUUUUGUGUUUUUUUCUUUCUGGUUUUGUUUGUGUAAUGAUCUUGGGAGACAUUUUGAUGAUAGAAAUGGUGAGAAAUUAUUAUUAUUGUUGUUGUUGUUAUUAGUAUUUGUUUAGAUAUUAAACCUGGACGAUUUUUUUUGUUCUUUGAUUUUCAUUGAUUCUGAGAGUGGUUAUAUAGCGUCUGAAGUGGGUGAUAUCCAAGAAUAUCUGCAUCAUAUGAUUUCUUCCACGUAUUGUGUAAUAUUGUCAGUCCUUCCCUUCAUGUUAGCUUCUCAGUACAUAUACUUUCCCUUUUCGUUUCCUAAUUAAAUGUUCCUUAUCGGUCUUCCAUUUUCUUCAAAUGGUAAAUGAAAUGAGUCCAUAUUGAUAUCAAUGGUCUUGCAUAGAGUGAGUGUUCCCCUGAAGUUGCUGUUUAAUUUUCACAUCAAUGGCAAACUAAGCAAAGGUAUUUCUGCUUUUAUACUUUACUUCUCUAUUACUUUUCUUGCAUUAGGAACAUGAUGACUCAUGUUUUUAUAUAUUUUCUUGAGCAGUUUUCUUUGAUAUGUUUGUUAUCGAGAUUUUGUUGCUGAAUCUGAUAGCACUUGCUCAUCAUCAAAUUAUUUUCACGAUAUUUUAUGCCUUCAUUCAGAUUCAUAAUGCCACUGGACUUGGGUGCUAAAAGAAGCUGCCCCGAUUGGUGGAAAUGUAGACUAAUGUAGGUGGUCUGCGCCUUGUUUGUUAUGGAUCUCUUCAUGGCAGUGUACUUGGAAGGAGCUUUCGAAAGCUAUCGAUGUAUGCCUUUUUGCUAUUAGGCAGGAUUUGGUCACAGUUUCUACUUGUGCAUUAGCUGUUGGUAUUAACCCUAGUAGAGUGUCUGACCUUCAACUUUUUGCUAAUCAGUUUGGUGCUCAUUACCCAACGUAAGUACUUUGAAAAAUUUACAUUUCACCUAUGUCUAUUAGUACCUACUAAUACCACCUCCUUUCUAGAUCUUGAUCUUUCUACCUUUGGUUAGUAGCGUGCAUGGAAAAUGUGCAUGGUCACAAUUAGUGUUUUGUAACUAAAACCAUCACUCAAUCAACAUUAUAGUUUUUGGUGUUCCUUAUGA